CAAUAGCGUAUAUUAAAGUUGUUGCAGUUAAAAAGCUCGUAGUUGGAUUUCUGGUCGGAAGCUCCUGUCCUCUGAUGAGCGUACAAGUGCGUCCUACCAUCCUUCUGUUAACCUUUAAGGCUUUCGCGGCUUUCUAGGGACUCAGAUAUUUUACCUUGAGAAAAUUAGAGUGUUUCAGGCAGGCUAGCGCCGGAAUACAUUAGCAUGGAAUAAUGGAAUAGGACUUUUGCCUCUUCUGUUGGUCAUGAGGCUCGAGUAAUGAUUAAUAGGGAUAGUUGGGGGCAUUAGUACUUAACUGUCAGAGGUGAAAUUCUCGGAUUUGUUAAAGACUAACUUAUGCGAAAGCAUUUGCCAAGGAUGUUUNCAUUA
rnacentral:rRNA from 1 species